GCCCGCGUCGUUCAACGGAUAGGAUGCGACGCUACGAACGUCACGAUAGAGGUUCGAUUCCUCUCGCGGGCACCA
rnacentral:tRNA from 1 species